AGCACGCAGAUUCAGAGCAUACUUCCUGGCUCAUACAAUCAAAGUCUUAACAGAACAUCCGCUGCGCAGAAUCCUCCACAGGCCAGAUACUUCCGGAAGAUUAACGAAGUGGGCACUGGAGUUAAGCGAGUUCGAUGUAGAUUUUGUUCCUGCCACAGCCAUUAAAGGGCAAGCAGUCGCAGACUUUAUUGUAGACAUGACCCAGGAAAGCAAAGAAAAACCUUGGAUAGUAGAGGUUGAUGGCUCAAGCUGCAGUACAGGUGCAGGAGUGGGAAUAAAGUUAAUCACUCCAGACCAACGAAUAUAUGAACAUUCCAUCAGAUUACAGUUCUCAGCUACGAAUAAUAUAGCAGAAUACGAAGCUGUGAUCCAAGGAAUGAAAAUCCUCAGAAGGUUAGGGGCCUGUUCAGUAAUUAUUAGAACAGAUUCUCAAUUAGUGGCUCGGCAAUUCACAGGAGAGUUCACUGUUAAAGAACCUCUAAUUGUACAGUACGCAGCCACACUGGAAAAAAUUAAAGAACAAUUUACUAAGGUUGAAGUAGAACAGAUACCAAGGAGUCAAAAUAACUCAGCUGAUGCCCUAGCAAAGCUAGCUUCUGCUUUCGAGGGGGGGCAGAGAGAGAUACUAGUUGACUCAGCAUCUACACCUUCAUGUAACCUAGUCACGAUCCAGGCAGAAGACUGGAGGAAGCCCUUGAUAGAAUACUUCGAGGGACAGAAACUUCCUGAAAAUAAAAAUGAAAGACGCAAGUUACAAACACGCGUUUCAAGAUUCUGCCUAAUCGGUGAAAUUCUGUAUAAGAAAUCCUACGACGGACCUCUAAUGAAAUGUGUCUCAACAGAAGAGGGACAAUUCAUUGUAGAGGAGAUUCAUCAAGGAGUAUGCGGAAUACAUCAAGGGGGAAGAUCUUUGGCCCAAAGAAUAAUAAGGCAAGGAUACUUCUGGCCCACACUAAAAAGAGAUGCAGUCCUAUUUGCAAGAAAAUGCAAGGCCUGUCAAAUACACAAGAACAUACAGAGAAAUCCCGCAACUCAGCUAACAGGGGUAGAAAGCCCCAUCCCCUUCGCAAUGUGGGGAUUAGAUAUUGUGGGACCAUUUCCAGUAUCGACAGGCCAAGCUAAAUUUAUAUUUGUGGCUGUCGACUACUUUACUAAAUGGGUCGAGGCAUUGGCUGUACCCAAGAUAACUCAAGGAGCAGCAACGAAAUUUGUCUUCAAGUGCAUAAUGUGCAGAUUCGGUGUUCCAAUGCAUAUAGUGAUAGAUAACGGUACACAGUUUACCGGUGGGGAGUUUACGAGAUUGUGCGAGAACAUGGGCACUAGAAUCCAUUUUUCAUCGGUAUACAGACCACAGGGUAAUGGGCAAGUAGAAGUCACAAACAGAGCCAUCGUUCAGGGACUGAAGAAAAAAGUCGAACAGGCCAAAGGUUCGUGGGCAUAUCUACUACCAGAGAUCCUGUGGGCGUAUAGAACCACUGAAAAGACACCCACCGGAGAAACCCCGUUCUCACUAGCAUAUGGAAUGGAAGCACUAAUCCCAACAGAGCUAAGCAUUCCAACAGUCAGAGUGUUAUCUUAUGACAUGGAAGAAAACGUGAGAUCAUGUGCGAUAACUCUGAACUUAGUGGAUGAGCUAAGGGACAAUGCACAGGCAAAGAAUGCAGCUUACAAACAAAGUAUCGCUAGAUACCACGACAAGAAUGUCAAGAGUAAAGCGAUAAGAAAAGGAAGUCUAGUAUGGAGAAGAGCGAGUGUCGGUAGAAAAGACUGCUCUAAAGGUAAACUAGGCGCAAAUUGGGAAGGACCAUAUGUGGUGGAGGAAGAACUCCGACCAGGCACGUACAAGUUAAAGCGGGAAGAUGGAACAGGCAUUCCUAAUACUUGGCACGCAGAUAACCUACAGUUGUACUUUUGAACAAUUGAGUAGGAUUAUAAUUACUCUAAUAGUUUGAACUAUGUAACUAAUACGUUAUUUCGUUAACUAUCAGAACACUUGAACAUACAACAGUUAACUAUCGUUAACUAUCAGAACACUCAGAAAACAUUCCAUAUAUUGAUUAAACAUGAAUUGCAAAGGAAUGUAAAUUACAAGAUAGAGGAGCUAAUCUAUUUUAGGAGGAGGGGAUGCAUCCUUAGGACCCUUUGCAUCGUUGUUAUCUUGAUCUUCAACGGAGAAAUCUUUAUCAACAUCAGCAAGCGCCUUUAGAACCCCCUCUUCUUCUUCAUCCUCCUCAUCCUCUUCUUCCGCAAGCGCCCGAUUUCGAACUUCAGUAGCUUCCUUGGGGUACUUGCGGGCCCAGUCAUGGACAUUUGCAGCCUCGAAACCAGGGCAAACAUGAGGUCCCAGGUCAACCAAGUCAUUAUAAUCUUGCACGUUGACAAGAUAGUCAGCCUGGAGUGUCUCCAAAUGGUUGACCACACGUUGAAGCUCUUCAGUUGCAAGUCGAGCUUCCUCAGUUGCGCGUUGAGCUUCCGCAACUGCUCGGUUGACCACCUCAGUCUUUGCUUGGUCCGCUUCUUCCAGUCGCAUUAUUGUUUUCUUGUAUUCAUCCUGCGACUCCAGCAGCUUCUUGUUCUCCUCAUGACUCUCACCCAGUCGGUCGGAGAAUAUGGAGUUCUGUGUCCGACAGGUGUUAAGAUUCUCCCCAAUAUUCUCGAGCUGAAGGUCAAGACCAGCAAUUAUCGACUCUUUAACAAUGAUCUUGGCACGUUCAGCUGUGAGUUCCAACCUUGCAGCCCCCAACUCUCCCUUAACUUGGGAGAGUUCCUGCUCCUUUUCCCUCAGAGAACUCCUUUGAGCGGCCCAAUCCGCAGACAACUUCUUAUUGGUUUCAGAGAGAGUUGAAGCGUCUGUAAUUUUCUGUGCAACCUCACCUUCCAGAUCUCGGCAUCGGCGCUUCGCUCUCUUCAACUCGUCUUCCGUAGACUGAGAGUCACGAAGACGAGACAGGGAAGAGAUACGGCCCUGGAACAAAUGGUUGAGCUGCAAAAAGAAAGAAUGGGUAAGGACACGCUCAUAAAAAUAACUAAGAAAUAAAGAACACUCACGUUGCUCAAGUUCUGUCCGAUUUCCUCGACUAUCCGGUCCAUCGGAUACCCAGAGAUAGCCCGCAGUGUGGUUCGGGUGGCAUCCGUGUCAGGGGUCAGGGGAAGUUUGGACCCAUAGUUCCGGGGAUGCGAACCUUGAUACCCCGGCAGUUGCGUCUCCCGGGUGGAAGAAUAAUUGAAGCAGCCCCGGGAGGACUCCCCAGGAUAAUAAUUCUUGCGAAGAGGAGCUCGUCGCCUGGGGGAGUGUCUCCUCGACUUCCUUGGAGGAGAUGAGUGGGUCCGGGGAGGAGGAGUCCGUUCUUUUCUUUUUCUCCUCUCAGAGACCUCUUGCUCUGUAGUUUUUUCAGUCCGCUUAGACUGAAUCUCCUUUUCCGCAGCCUUCUCCGCUUUCUCUCGCUCUUCUUCUGACGGAGUACGGAAGAAGUGAGAGAGCCUCGAACCAGCAGGAGACUGCCCAGGAGUAGUGUCUUUAGGCACCUCCGGAGGUACCUCCCCUUCCUCAGUUCGUGGGACUUCGUUAGGAGGAGUAGGGGAACGCGCCAUAGAAUAGGAAUUCUCCAGAGCACGCUGCCUCAGAUGAUCAGCAUCAGAGGGCUUGGAGGCAGCUGCGUAAACCUUGGAGCCCGUUUCGUUUUGCCCAACGCGUUCAGGGACACCUCCAGGGUUGUGCAUAUAAAAAUCUGCAAAGAAUAAAAACAGAGUUAGAAAAUAUAUAUGUAUAUAUAAAACAUAAAAAGGAAAACAGGCAAAGGAAGACCUUGUCGGUUAAAAGUAUCUUCAAUCGCGUGACCGACAGGCACAGCGAUAGGAUGCAAAAAGGCCAGCUUUUGCACGGAAGCUCCCUCAUCCUCAGUCAGAUCAGGACGAGGAAUGGGUUUACGGCCACUAGUGGAUGCAGGAAGAAGUCUGCUACCGGGGCAUAACCUGCAAUCCACAAAAAUGAACUCACUCUUGCUCCGUCUGGUCGGAGGAUCUUUCAAGAGGGCAGAGUGAGUAAUAGAGGUAGCACGGCUGGCACAUGCAAUAAAAGGGCUGCCCUUCUUCGGAUUUUGGAAUGUGAAGAAGUGGAAGAACAGCCGAGCAGUGGGGACUAUGCCAGCAUCCCUAAGGAUAUUAAUAAAUCCCCGGACAUAAAAGAAGAAGGCAGCACCCAUCUGAGAUAUACACAACCCAGAAUACAAGAGUAUUUCACUAACUAGGGAAGGAAUCGGAAGGAUUGGAAAGUUAGUGAAAUAAAUACGGUGAAGUGCCAGCAUGAAAUAGGGAGGCACGUCACCAGUAUUCUCAGAGGGGUACGCCCAGUACACUCUCUUUCUAAGCUCCAACCCCCUCAGAAUUCUUUUGGCGGCAUCCAUGGAAAGGGUGUUGGAGCAGCUACCCGCAUUGGAGGAAAGUGGGUAGCCUGGAAUAUCAGUCAGAGAGACUGCACAGAAGGAACCAUAUCCAGUCCCGUACUCGCCCCGGUCAAGGAUAGGGACGACGUGAAAACCGUUACGAACAAGAACGGACCACUGACGCCAAGAACCAUCGAUCUCCCGAUAGAAGGAUGGGGCGUGCUUCUCUUCAAGGGGAGAAGGAAAGGGGUAUUUGUCCCUCGUCUCAGGGGGGUAACCCAAUGGGGAACUCUCGAGAACAUGAAUGUUUUGACUACAGACUUCGGGAGGAAGUUGAAUAGAACUAUCUGUAGUCACGGAUAAAACCCCCGAAGUAGGAGUCUCCUCAGGAAUGGAAGUCAAAAUGACAGUACGAGGAGGAGUCCUUACAACGGAGGGAGGGGUUCCUCCAAUAUCUACAUCCUCCGAGGAAGAAGAGUAAUAAGAGGAGGAACCCGAACUUCCCGAGCUAGGGGUAGAAGACCCCGAGCUGGAACGUAUGGGGGAAGAGUGGGGAGCACCUACAAACAAAAAAAAGAAACAAAUAAAGAGUAAGUUACGAAGUAAAUAAUAAAUAAGUAACUUACUAGGAGGUACGGGCUUGCGCGUACGACGAGAAAGAGUCUUUUUCUUACUUCCAAUAGGCACGGAAGGUGAGGGUCUAGGCUCCGGUACGACAGGAGCGGCCUGAACAGACUCCGGUUCAGCAGAAGGAUUCUGAACCUCGAUUUCAGGGACCUGAGGAGCAUCUUUCUGCGAGUUUUUGUCAGAAGACAUUAUAAAACCUGCACGAAGAACAAAACAGUCAGGCCAAGUUAAGGCAAAAGUCGAUCCCAAGAAAAGUCAACUUGGACUUAAGGGAAUCGAACUUGCAAUAUAAGGGAAGUCGAUCUCAGAAGUCGAUCCCAGAAAAGUCGACUCUCAGGAGACAAAGGUCUCAAGAAGUCGAUCACAGGAAAGUCGACUGUCAGGAAGUCGAUCCCAGUAAAAGGGGAUCCAACUUUGAAAAGUCGAUGACAAGGCGUCAGACCUCACAAAGUCGGACCACAGUCCAAUGGGGAACAACUUCGAAGAGGACCGACUUUCAGAAAAGUCGGACCCCAAGGAAGUCGAACCCAGUGCAGCCUCAGAAGAGCCCGACAACAAAAGUCGGACCCCAGAAAGCUGCACCUCCAAGGCUCAAGUCGAAGCCUCACGCACGCUGGAAGUCGAAGCGGAAGAAGCUGGAAGUCGAAGCGGAAGAGGCUGGAAGUCGAAGCGGGAAGUCGAUGCGAAGAAAGUCGAUGCCUCAGAGCGAUGGAAACAAGUGGAGAGGAAAUGAACUCCCUCCGCUAUUUAUAGGGGAAAGUCGAAGACGAACCGUCGCGGGCACUGUUCAUCCGGGUCGACCCGUUGGGCCAGGAAGCCCACGGGCCCGGCAGGCCCACGACGGCCCAGUCCAUGAAAAACCCUAAAAUCCGACUAGAUGGCAUCGACAUUUCAAGAAGAUCCAUCGACAUUCCAGAAAAACCAUCGACAUUCCGCAGAAAAUUGAGUUCGACAUUCCCAGGAAAAGGGGAUAGGCGUCGACAUUUACAAAGGAAUUCGAUGCCUUCAAAAGAGAAGGCCAGGAUCGACAUUCCGCAGGAAAGCGUGUUCGACAUUCCCAGAAAAAAAGGGGAUAGGCGUCGACAUUUGGCAAGGAAGUCGACACCUUCAAAAGAGAAGGCCAGGAUCGACAUUCCACAGAAAAGCGAGUUCGACAUUCCCAGAAAAGGGGGAUAGGCGUCGACAUUUACCAAGGAAUUCGGUACCUUCAAAAGAGAAGGCCAGGAUCGACAUUCCGCAGGAAAGCGUGUUCGAUAUUCCCAGAAAAAAAAAGGGAUAGGCGUCGACAUUUGGCAAGGAAUUCGAAACCUUCAAAAGAGAAGGUCAGGAUCGACAUUCCACACUACCAAGAUCGACAUUCCGCAGAAAAGCGAGUUCGACAUUCCCAGAAAAGGGGGAUAGGCGUCGACAUUUACCAAGGAAUUCGGUACCUUCAAAAGAGAAGGCCAGGAUCGACAUUCCGCAGGAAAGCGUGUUCGACAUUCCCAGGAAAAAAAGGGGAUAGGCGUCGACAUUUGGCAAGGAAUUCGAAUCCUUCAAAAGAGAAGGGCAGGAUCGACAUUCCACACUACUCUGAUCGACAUCCUCAGAAAAAGGUGGGAUCGACAUUUUUAGGCAACAUCGACAUUUCCAGGGAGAAAUGAGAUCGACUUGUCAAAAAUCCGACACCUUUAGAAAAGGAUCAGCAGUCAUCGACUUCCUCAGAAAAAGGUGAAAUCGACAUUUUUAGGCAACAUCGACAUUUCCAGGGAGAAAUGAGAUCGACUUGUCAAAAAUCCGACACCUUUAGAAAAGGAUCAGCAGUCAUCGACUUCCUCAGAAAAAGGUGAAAUCGACAUUUUUUAGGCAACAUCGACAUUUCCAGGGAGAAAUGAGAUCGACUUGUCAAAAAUCCGACACCUUUAGAAAAGGAUCAGCAGUCAUCGACAUUUUUUAGGCAACAUCGACAUUUCCAGGGAGAAAUGAGAUCGACUUGUCAAAAAUCCGACACCUUUAGAAAAGGAUCAGCAGUCAUCGACUUCCUCAGAAAAAGGUGAAAUCGACAUUUUUUAGGCAACAUCGACAUUUCCAGGGAGAAAUGAGAUCGACUUGUCAAAAAUCCGACACCUUUAGAAAAGGAUCAGCAGUCAUCGACUUCCUCAGAAAAAGGUGAAAUCGACAUUUUUUAGGUGAUACAGUAUCCCGAACACGGUCACAACCUACCAGCAACUAGAAGUCCGGAUAGCCUAAGAUGAGUUGAGGUAUCUAUUCUAGGGUUGGGGAGGUCCCAGGUCGAAUCCUAGGAAGAUCGACUUUCCUGAGAAUCGACUUCCCUGGGAUCGACUUUUGAGUAAAGUCGAUCACCAGGAAAAGUCGACCCCCAGAAAGUCGAUCUCUGGAAAGUCGACCCCUUGACCCAAUCUGAUCAGUUAGGCAGUUAGGCGGUUACUGCCCAAAUGACCAGAUCACCCCCAUAAGAAUCCCUAUAAAUAGAGGGCACCCCCCACUCAUCAAAGGCAAGUCAGUUGGAGAAGAAGAAUUCCUAGCGAAGCAGAGCUCUGCGCACUUGAGUUCCGGUCCGGUUUCCCGCGGAGUUCCCCGCUUGGCGCUUGCUUGCGCGUCUUGGAGUACUGGUCGGGUUUCACCCCCAUCACUAGGAUAUUAGUUAAAUAAAGAGUCUAUUUGGUUUCCGCUAGUACUUUGAUUUUGUUGUAUACGUCCAUUCGGGCAUAUGGAUCUUGAUUGUAUGUUUAAUUAAAUUUGGGAAUAACCCUAUUUAAAUUAAAAAAAAUUCAGGUUAUUACACUUAGUAUCAGAGAGGAGGUUAGAUUGAGUGUCACCCCGGGGACUUGCUCGAUCUUCUCCUUUUGUCGUUCACCUCUAAAUCCCUAACUUCAAGGUUUGGGUUCCUUUAGGAUUUAACCCGAUGGUGGAUGGGAAUAGUUCGAGUCGAGUACCAUUCCAAGAACUGGCUCGACCCGCCCCUUUCGUUGUCCAUUCCUAAAUUCAUUUUCCUUAGGUCUCGUUGAUUUCCCUUUUACACUUUUCGUUAUUAGAUCCAAAGAAAACAUAACGUUGAAAUAAAAUUCGAAAUGUCAUUUAAAUCCUCGAGUAAUGAAACGGUUUGCAUUAGUAAAAAUCAAACUUUUAAAUCGACUAGGUUUUAGUUUAAUUUACCUCUCGUUCGUUAACUCAAACUUUGAAAACAAAACGCAGACCUUUAAAUUUACUCGACUACCACCCUGGAAUAGGCGGUAGGUCUAUAGAGUUGAGGCUUAACCUCAAUAACCAAUCCAAUUAUUCAGAAUCAUGUGGGUGUCUCAUUUGGGUGUCUAAGGCUUAAACGUGAGCUUCUAGCCCUAGGGCAGCGCAAAUCCUGAACUUGGAGACCUUGUGGAGCCCAGUCCACGAUUAUAGUCCCGUGUUCAUAAGGAUUUUUUUGCUGUCUAGUAAAUUAAUUUAAACAACAAAAAUCAGAAACCAAAACUCCAGAGAUUAUCUAGCAAUGAUACUGAAUAUCAGGUAGAAAAUCAGAAAACAAAAUCAGAAAAUCAGAAGAAGGAAAAAAAGAAAAACAGGAAACAGGAAAAACGGAAAAUAAAAAAAAUAAAAACAGAAAACAAACCGAAGAAAGAAAAAAAGAUAACUUUAACUUCCCUUGAACCAAAAAAAAACAAUCGAACAAAAACUUUGUUGUACGAAAACAGACCUCAAAUCCUCCAAUGGAGAUACAAUCCGUAAACCAAAAAUCAUUCAUAUCCUUACAUAAUUUCAUUUCAUUUUUAAUAAUAAUACUUCAUACUAAAAUUAUUAUAGUAGAAGGAUUGAAUAUAUCCACGUACUUUGAUCUCCUCUUAGUUUUUCUUCUAACACUUGCAAGCCUUAGCUGAAUCCUUCCUCUUCCUUCAAAUUUCCGUCCCCCCCCUUUUCUAUUUUUAACACCUUCUAUUUAAAGAUUUAACUCCCUCUUCAAUUUUGUCUAAAUCUUUCCUUUAUCUUUUCCUCAAUCAAUUAAGAAUAUCCUCUUUAAUUGAUUCUUUUGACCCAUUUGCCCCUAUUUUAAAAAUGUUUCAUUCCUUUAAUUUAAUUGACUAAUUUAACCUUAAAUUAAAAUCAAUUAAGAAUAUUUUUUUGACCUUAUUGCCCUUAUAUUUAAAAAAAAACGUUUUCUUAAUCUAAUUGACUAAUUUACCCUUACGUUGAAAUCUUAUUUAUGUUCUUAUUUAAUUAAACCAUUUAGAUUCAGCUCAAUUCGAAUAGGUCCCCUAUAUUUUAUUUACUUAAGUUCAGCCCAACUUAGGCCUUGCCCAUACUUGACUAACCUAAUUACUUAUUAAAUUUAAUUAGGCCUAGCCAAAUUGACCUUAACCCAAUCAGUUAGGCUGAGUUUCUCUAGUUCUGUCUUAUUUUAGCUAAAAUUUUCCAAUUCUGCUCCUGUAAUGAGGGUUUUCUUUUACUAUUAAGACCCCUAAUUUUUUCCGGAAUAUUACACUGACUCACUCAGUGCAUCAUAUAGAUCAUUCAUUGCUUUGGAGAUGUUGCUUCCCUUGAACUUAUCUAGAGCUUUCUAUUCUUCUUCCUUUGUGGUGGGGAUCUCGUAGUCUUCAGCCAUAAUUUUUCAUACUCUAUUAUUGAUUGACUUCAGAUGAUGUUUCAUCGUGUUUUUUCAGAAAUCAUAUAUACCUUGUACCAUCAAAGGACAGAGGUUUAUGAAAAGUGUUAUCAUGAUAUACGUCGGUCUGUGUCAUUGUAGUUGAUAGUAGUUGUUAAGUUGAUUUCAACGGUACUUGACUCUGAUACCAUUUGUUGGACCGUGAUCCGAGACUAUAAAGGGGUUAAUAGCCUUUUUUCGCGUCAUGCAGAUUUUAGCGAAAAUAUCUGCAAUAACACUUAAUAAUAACAAUAGCAAAAAUGAUAUUAUGUAAUUAUUAGCUUAGUUAAAAUUAAGAAGACUCUUAAGUACCUGAUGACAGGUCAAGGAAUUAAAUGUAAAUAACAUUGUGAACACCUGAUAACAGGUUGAAGACUUAAGUGUAAAUAACUUAAAAGUAAAUGACUUCUUGAAAGAAAAAUACAAAAGAUAACGAUUAGUAUGGUUAUCUUACUAAAGAUAUGGUGUUGAAUUCGCCAGUUGCGAAGAAACAAGAUCAUUUGAUCUUGGGUGUCAAGUCUAACGACAUCAAUGGUAUCAGAGGUGUUCGAUUGCGCUACCUCGCACGAUGCGUGGAAAAAUCUCUAGAUGUAAUUCAUAUUUUCUUUCCGAGCUCAAGUUCUGAGCAUUCGACAGAGAAAAAUCGAGAAAUUAUUGAUAUAGGAAAAAAUUCAGAUUAGAUAUAUAUAGGAAACGAUUCUCACCAUUGACUAAGAAUCCAUCGGUUGUAUUAUAUAUUUGUUUUUUAAUUGAUUUAAAAUAUAGAUCUCGAGAUAUUUCAUUGGAUGGAUGAGAUUUAAUUAUCUCAAACUGUCUCUGAUAGAUAUAUCAACAUGAGAUGCCAUAAGAUUAAUCAUUUUUAAUCUUGCGAUCAAUGGAUGAAAUGUAAUUAAAAAAUAUCAAAAAUCUUCAAUCUCAAGGUAUGUAGGAAUAUUAGUAUUUAACCUAACCCUAGAUAUAAUUUUACCAGAUAUCCAUAUUCAAAUUCAAAUAUUAAUCGUAAUUACAACACGUUUUAUGCAGAUAAUAAAAUUAUCUGAAUUUGUUUAGAUUUUUAAAUUCUAAUGAGAGAUGAUGAAAUAUCAUAUGAAAAAAUAGGAAGUGUCCACAUAUGCAAGGAAGAAAUACAAUACCUGCAAGAUCUGCGAGUAAAGCGCGACAAGGCCCUUGGGUGACAUUGUUUCCAACAUCUAGAAGCCAAAAUCCGGUGAUGAAUGCUUCGAUGGCCUUUGAUUUACGAUGUACGUUCACCGGAUCACCCAACCACGAACCUACCAAUAUCAGCACUGAAACUAACGAGAAACACAGAGAGCGCGAUAGCGAUGGUUCCACCGAUGAUGAAAGGUCUCCGACGACCAAGUUUACUUGUCGUGCGAUCACUCACAUGGCCGACCAAUGGUUGCACAAUAAGUCCGGAGAGCGGACCACAUAACCACACCAAACUCACAAAAACAUGAGGAACUCCUAGAUCUUGGACAUAAGGGGCCGGUAAGAAGGGAGAGUUGAAGUGCCCGUCCAAAUUGUACUCCACAUACGACGGAAGCCGUAAGAGCUCAAAAUCACUCUUCAAACGUCGUUGGUAAUCUUCGAGUACCAUGAUUUAGAUUUAUUUUUCUUUCACUUGACGACCAAAGUUGAAUACAAAAUUUUAAUUUAUGAUGGAAUUUAUUUAUAAGACUGUUAAAAAGACGUCAACCAAAUUAACUACUAAUUUUAUCUUCUUAAUCUAUCAAUAUAUGAUCAGAAUAAAGCCAAUGCUUUUGUGUCCAUUGUUUUUUCUUCUAAAUAUGCAUGUCGGACGAAGCAUAGUUUUUUGUGAAUAGAAUACAAAAUUUUUAAAUGUUUAGACAGACAGGUAUCAGAGCAUAUGGAUAUAUUAUCCUACAUAAUUCAUAUGGUAUCAGAGCAUAUGGAUUGAUCUUGGGAAGGUCCUGUCAAAUUGCAUCGAUCCAUCAUCUGCUAGUAGCGUUUUUUGGCCGAAUUCCGUUGUAGUACGAACAUGACGUACUACAAAAGCACUGAUAUAAAGAGCAAUGAGCUUCAGAUCGUAGACACUUCGACGAAAGUCGUGAUGGUUAAGAAUCUGAAACUAUUGCUCUAGUCACUUAAAUAUUCUUAAACUUCACUUAAAUAUUAGCUCUAGUCAUAGUAAUUAUUAAGGUUUCUGAGGAUUUCGAGUUGAGUUUUGAUGUUUAUGUAUUUUUAUUAAAUUUUUACAGUGUUGUAACUGAUGAUAUAUUACGUGAUUACCCUUUGUAAUAAAAAAAAAUAACUUCAAAGUUCAAACAUUUGUAAAUGAAUAAAAACCGAGUAUUAAGUUAAUUCUGCAAUAUUGAAAAUAGUUAUAAAAAAUAUCUUUGAUAAAAACAGAUUAAUUUUACUUCCUUUAGAAAUAUUAAAAAAAUCUAUUUUGAAAUAUAUAAAAAAUUAUUUAACGGCCGUAGAUAUGAAUUGAGAUUAUCGACACAAUCCCGCUGAUAAAAGCCGCAACAGCUCCUAUACUCAAUGAUCCCCAAUUUCCACCUCCAAACACCACAUCCAAAGGUCCACUCAAUACAGCUAUAGCCAUCUGAGGAAUCACAAUUGCCAAGUUCAAAAGACCUAGCGACAAGCCUGCACGCAUAAACUUACAAUAUCAAUCAAUUUUUAUCAUAUAAAAAGGAUAAGAUUCAUAUAAGAUAUUAAAUAUUAGAUAAUUAAAUUUUACCCAUCUAAUGAAAACCCUCGAGAUUGAUCAGUGUCAUAAAUCAAUUAAAAAACAAACAUAUAAUACAAUCAGUGGAUUCUUAUCCAACUAUUUCACAAAUUAAAAAGAGAAUCAAUGUGAAAAAGGAAAAGAAAAAGGAAAAAGUCGUACCUUGGCCAAUACCAAUUUCCUCAGACCUAAUGGAAACCAAUGCAUAAGGAACCGAAAAAGUAACAGCUAAUGGUGCUCCAAGCACUGCAAACACAAUCAAUGAAGCGACGAAUAUGCCAGUUGAAGGAUGUCCAUUGGUAUACUCUAUGUUUUCUGCCCAAAAUGAUAUAAGGACCAUGGAUCCAAACCUAGCUGCCAUGAUGAUGCUUGAGAUUCCCCAAACCAAACCCGACCCUAAUUUCGUGCAAAUCACAUCCAUAUUCCAUGAAAAAAAAUCAAGAACAAUUGAGUUCAACAUCAAACAAAAUGAUCCUGCCCUUACUCCAGCAGCAUAGAUACCACUGCCAUCUUCAGUAUUAGGGUUUCCUUUAAAAACCUCACGACCCAUCCAAUCGGUAUCGUAGAGAAUAAAAGGAAACCAACCAAACCAUGAGAGUGCAGUCACCAAGAAAAUUAUCCAAAUUGGAUUGUUCAUUAAUUUGAGAGUAUUCGCAAAUUCUUUGGAAAAUGAUGUUUGGUUAAUGCCUGCAACUUGAUGAGAUGCUUCUUCUUCUCCCCCCAACAACCUCUCUUGUUGCCUCUCCAAUGGUAUUUCAUGUGAUCUUGAAACACUCAAGUAUGUGGUGCACGCGAGAAUCACGAUGUGGAUCAGGAAAGCCGAUUUUAGAUUGGCGCAGUCGAUAUUACAGUAUUUUGUUCUGGUGAAGGGGAACAAUUUAUACCAUUUACCAUAAGUUCCAGUAGCAUAACCAAGAACAUUUCCCACUGCCAUAAAUAGAGAGAAAAAUCCAUUUCCAACCCUAGUCCUCCUUUCGUCCUUAUCUGUCAAAAAAAUUGUAAUUAUAUAUAAAUCCAAAAUAAUGUAGGAUAAAUAUGCCAUUUUUUAAUUUUAAUUAAAAUUAUUCGAAUUUUAUUGGCAGAAAACCAGAAAUAUCUAAAAAUCGAAAAAUUAUUGAUAUACGAAAAAAUUCAGAUUAAAUAUAUAUAGGAAACGAUUCUUAUUAUUGACUAAGAAUCCAUCGGUUGUAUUAUAUAUUUGUUUUUUAAUUGAUUUAUAAUACAGAUCUCGAGAUAUUUCAUUGGAUGGAUGAGAUUUAAUUAUCUCAAACUGUCUCUGAUAGAUAUAUCAACAUGAGAUACCAUAAGAUUAAUCAUUUUUAAUCUUGCGAUCAGAUCGAUGGAUGAAAUGUAAUUAAAAAAUAUCAAAAAUCUUCAAUCUCAAGGUAUGUAGGAAUAUUAGUAUUUAACCUAACCCUAGAUAUAAUUUUACCAGAUAUCCAUAUUUAAAUUCAAAUAUUAAUCGUAAUUACAACACGUUUUAUGCAGAUAAUAAAAUUAUCUGAAUUUGUUUAGAUUUUUAAAUUCUAAUGAGAGAUGAUGAAAUAUCAUAUGAAAAAAUAGGAAGUGUACAAUACCUGCAAGAUCUGCGAGUAAAGCGCGACAAGGCCCUUGGGUGACAUUGUUUCCAACAUCUAGAAGCCAAAAUCCGGUGAUGAAUGCUCCGAUGGCCUUUGAUUUACGAUGUGCGUUCACCGGAUCACCCAACCACCUACCGAUAUCAGCACUGAAACUAACGAGAAACACAGAGAGCGCGAUAGCGAUGGUUCCACCGAUGAUGAAAGGUCUCCGACGACCAAGUUUACUUGUCGUGCGAUCACUCACAUGGCCGACCAAUGGUUGCACAAUAAGUCCGGAGAGCGGACCACAUAACCACACCAAACUCACAAAAACAUGAGGAACUCCUAGAUCUUGGACAUAAGGGGCCGGUAAGAAAUGAGAGUUGAAGUGCCCGUCCAAAUUGUACUCCACAUACGACGGAAGCCGUAAGAGCUCAAAAUCACUCUUCAAACGUCGUUGGUAAUCUUCGAGUACCAUGAUUUAGAUUUAUUUUUCUUUCACUUGACGACCAAAGUUGAAUACAAAAUUUUAAUUUAUGAUGGAAUUUAUUUAUAGGACUGUUAAAAAGACGUCAACCAAAUUAACUACUAAUUUUAUCUUCUUAAUCUAUCAAUAUAUGAUCAGAAUAAAGCCAAUGCUUUUGUGUCCAUUGUUUUUUCUUCUAAAUAUGCAUGUCGGACGAAGCAUAGUUUUUUGUGAAUAGAAUACAAAAUUUUUAAAUGUUUAGACAGACAGGUAUCAGAGCAUAUGGAUAUAUUAUCCUACAUAAUUCAUAUGGUAUCAGAGCAUAUGGAUUGAUCUUGGGAAGGUCCUGUCAAAUUGCAUCGAUCCAUCAUCUGCUAGUAGCGUUUUUUGGCCGAAUUCCGUUGUAGUACGAACAUGACGUACUACAAAAGCACUGAUAUAAAGAGCAAUGAGCUUCAGAUCGUAGACACUUCGACGAAAGUCGUGAUGGUUAAGAAUCUGAAACUAUUGCUCUAGUCACUUAAAUAUUCUUAAACUUCACUUAAAUAUUAGCUCUAGUCAUAGUAAUUAUUAAGGUUUCUGAGGAUUUCGAGUUGAGUUUUGAUGUUUAUGUAUUUUUAUUAAAUUUUUACAGUGUUGUAACUGAUGAUAUAUUACGUGAUUACCCUUUGUAAUAAAAAAAAAUAACUUCAAAGUUCAAACAUUUGUAAAUGAAUAAAAACCGAGUAUUAAGUUAAUUCUGCAAUAUUGAAAAUAGUUAUAAAAAAUAUCUUUGAUAAAAACAGAUUAAUUUUACUUCCUUUAGAAAUAUUAAAAAAAUCUAUUUUGAAAUAUAUAAAAAAUUAUUUAACGGCCGUAGAUAUGAAUUGAGAUUAUCGACACAAUCCCGCUGAUAAAAGCCGCAACAGCUCCUAUACUCAAUGAUCCCCAAUUUCCACCUCCAAACACCACAUCCAAAGGUCCACUCAAUACAGCUAUAGCCAUCUGAGGAAUCACAAUUGCCAAGUUCAAAAGACCUAGCGACAAGCCUGCACGCAUAAACUUACAAUAUCAAUCAAUUUUUAUCAUAUAAAAAGGAUAAGAUUCAUAUAAGAUAUUAAAUAUUAGAUAAUUAAAUUUUACCCAUCUAAUGAAAACCCUCGAGAUUGAUCAGUGUCAUAAAUCAAUUAAAAAACAAACAUAUAAUACAAUCAGUGGAUUCUUAUCCAACUAUUUCACAAAUUAAAAAGAGAAUCAAUGUGAAAAAGGAAAAGAAAAAGGAAAAAGUCGUACCUUGGCCAAUACCAAUUUCCUCAGACCUAAUGGAAACCAAUGCAUAAGGAACCGAAAAAGUAACAGCUAAUGGUGCUCCAAGCACUGCAAACACAAUCAAUGAAGCGACGAAUAUGCCAGUUGAAGGAUGUCCAUUGGUAUACUCUAUGUUUUCUGCCCAAAAUGAUAUAAGGACCAUGGAUCCAAAACUAGCCGCCAUGAUGAUGCUUGAGAUUCCCCAAACCAAACCCGACCCUAAUUUCGUGCAAAUCGCAUCCAUAUUCCAUGAAAAAAAACCAAGAACAAUUGAGUUCAACAUCAAACCAAAUGAUCCUGCCCUUACUCCAGCAGCAUAGAUACCACUGCCAUCUUCAGUAUUAGGGUUUCCUUUAAAAACCUCACGACCCAUCCAAUCGGUAUCGUAGAGAAUAAAAGGAAACCAACCAAACCAUGAGAGUGCAGUCACCAAGAAAAUUAUCCAAAUUGGAUUGUUCAUUAAUUUGAGAGUAUUCGCAAAUUCUUUGGAAAAUGAUGUUUGGUUAAUGCCUGCAACUUGAUGAGAUGCUUCUUCUUCUCCCCCCAACAACCUCUCUUGUUGCCUCUCCAAUGGUAUUUCAUGUGAUCUUGAAACACUCAAGUAUGUGGUGCACGCGAGAAUCACGAUGUGGAUCAGGAAAGCCGAUUUUAGAUUGGCGCAGUCGAUAUUACAGUAUUUUGUUCUGGUGAAGGGGAACAAUUUAUACCAUUUACCAUAAGUUCCAGUAGCAUAACCAAGAACAUUUCCCACUGCCAUAAAUAGAGAGAAAAAUCCAUUUCCAACCCUAGUCCUCCUUUCGUCCUUAUCUGUCAAAAAAAUUGUAAUUAUAUAUAAAUCCAAAAUAAUGUAGGAUAAAUAUGCCAUUUUUUAAUUUUAAUUAAAAUUAUUCGAAUUUUAUUGGCAGAAAACCAGAAAUAUCUAAAAAUCGAAAAAUUAUUGAUAUACGAAAAAAUUCAGAUUAAAUAUAUAUAUGAAACGAUUCUUAUUAUUGACUAAGAAUCCAUCGGUUGUAUUAUAUAUUUGUUUUUUAAUUGAUUUAUAAUACAGAUCUCGAGAUAUUUCAUUGGAUGGAUGAGAUUUAAUUAUCUCACAAAAACAUGAGGAACCCCUAGAUCUUGGACAUAAGGGGUAAGAAGGGAGAGUUGAAGUGCCCAUCCAAAUUGGACUCCACAUGCGACAGAAGCCAUGAGUAAGAGCUCAAAAUCGCUCUUCGGACGCCGUUGGUAAUCUUCGAGUACCAUGACUUAGAUCUAUUUUUUUCCUUCCGACGACCAAAGUUGAAUGUAAAAUUCUAUUUUCUAUUGGAAUUUAUUUAAAGGACGGUUAAAAAAGACGUCAACAAAAUUAACUACUAAUUUUAUCUCCUAGAUCGUCAAUGCUUUUGUGUCCAUUGCUUUCUAUUUAAAUAUGGAACGCAAGAAUUUUAGAUGUGUAGUUAUGGUAUAUUAUGUAAUUUUGGCAUAUCAUCCCGAUAUAGAAAUUUUUAUAUCUUUUAAAAAGAUACCCUCAUUAUAUAAAAAGAUUAUUGUGUAUAAGUAUAAAAAGCGAAAAGAUUUAAAAAAAUUUUACAAUUAUUUAUCUGGUCAUUGUUUCCAAGGCGGAUCUCAAGACAAGACCGCCCACGGCCACGACCACGACCAGCCUCCCCCCUAAUUAAAGUUUUCUCAUUUUCGUUAAUGGACAUGAGAAAACCUUGAAAAAUUAUCAUCCUUGCCUCUUCUUUUGGUGACAGUUGAAGAAAUGCAAGAGAAGGAAGGAUUAAUGUAGAAACAGUAACAAAACCAUCCAUCAAAAACUCAAAUAUAGAGAGAAAAAUUAUCAUUUGUAAAUAGACUGUAAUGUAGAACAAAUGGAGGAUUGAUUAAAACAGUGAAUGAAUACAGAUAUAAGUUCAACAAUCAAACAUUAGUUGUCAAAAUUUUAGAAAUAAAUCUAAACAAACAAGUGCUCAAACUUACAUCAAUGAUACUGCCCCCCCUGUACAAAUUAAAGUAGUCCAAAGGAUAAUCUAAUCUAAAUUUAAACUUAAACAUGGUGUCAAUCAUAUGUCAUUAUCUUCCAUCUCAGUAUCUUCAGCCAUUAUAAUCUCUGAAUCCCUUAUAUCUUUCAUCAGUACAUUCCAAAGCCUAGAAAUAGCUCCAGUCUGCUGCUGCAAAACCUGAUUAAAAAACACAAGGCAAGGCUCACAUCACCAACCAUAAUUAACAAUCGAUAAUAAUUAGCAUAACCAUGUAUAUUAAUCUCCUUAGUUACCACCUCAUGCAAAUCAAAAAGACUUUGUUCGUCAAUUUUGGUAGAUCCGGGCAGACAGAUUGAACCACCAUCACCUGCAUUUGCACGUAUACGAGAAAUGGACAGCAGAUUGUGCACCCUUACAGAUAAUCCUGUUCUUGCACCUUUCAACUGGAAGGAAUUAUACAAAAAAUAGUUAUAUCCCUCCUCUCAAAGGAAUAGGAGGAUCAAUAAUAAAUUACACAUUUCAUUAACCUGUCUUGUAAUGGAAGCUGACUUCUCAACCAAUUCAGCUUCCCCUCUCAUGAGAGGUAAUCGAAGUCCUCUGCCUUCAAGAGUCUCUAUUAUUCUCAUUAACUUUUUUUUUGUACAAACAAAGUAACCUGGGCUGCCUCGUCACUAUAUGCUCUUCUAGUUUCCCAUGUAAGAAAGCAUUUCCAAUAUCAAUCUGAGUUAAUUUCUAGCCUUUUGAAUCAGCAAUUGUGAGAACCAUUCAAAUAGUGACUGGUUUCACAACUGGGCUGAAGGUUUCAUUAUAAUCCCUACUUUCAUAUACAAGAAUUCAUCGUGAUCAAUCCCUUUCCAGCACCUCCAGUCCCCGAUUCUGCAGAUUUCUCAUCCAUCGCAGCGGAACAGAUCGGAAUAGCCUGCAUUAGGGGAUACACCAGGAUUGAACUUCCCUCCCAACCAACUGAUACCAUAUAAGAAUUCAAGAGUAAAUAAGGGGAGAGAGAUCUCGAUUCCUUUUCAUUAGCUAUUGGUAGUCUUUUAUACACAAUUAGAAUAAAUAAUUCAAUUAUUCUUCUACACUAACUAGCUAAGGAAAUACAAAACGUGCCAUUCUAACUAUAUUUACACUAAUAGAAAACCAAUUAACCAUGCAUGUACUCAUCAAUUUUCAUCUUUUUAAGUCUAUGCCUUUUGGUUUUCAGAUGUUUUUAAUUUCUAUGCUACAUCAUUUUCUUCCAGGUAUUCUACUCAAGGAAGGCUUCUUUAAUACUUCAUAGUUUGCCUACUAUUAUAUAUCUUCUCCUUCCAUUCCUUUUGCAUUACCCAACAUUUUCAUUACAUUUGGCAUUUGUUACGUCAAUGGAUUUGGUGAAAGGUACGAUAUUUAUUAUUCCAAGUUAAAGCACUUAUGCAAUCAUACCAUAGAUAAAGGUUCAAUGUCUCAAUUUAUCUUUCACGUUGUUGAAAAUCAGAAACUACUAUUCUUGGUAGAAAACAUUGCCCAUCAUUUUCAUAAUAUAAACAUUUAAUUCUAUAAAAAAAGCGGUUGCAAGUAAAAGCUAUUAAGCGAUAGCUGAUCAGCCUCAACUCCUAAUCUGGAUGUGCACAGAGUGUGAUAGUGUAGAUUUUAACCAUAUGUGAAUAUACAUUGUGUUUUAAUAUAAAAAAUAACCCUUUAUAAAUAAAAAUAAAGACUUUGUUGUUAUAUAAAUAAUUAUAUGAAUAUAUUUCCAUGGAACUUAAUUUAUCUCAUGUCAGUAUAUUUAAAUCAUAGUUUUAAAAGCGCCGCUUUAAGCGUGUUUAAAGCGCUCUAAAGCUCUCUUGGAGAAGCGCUUUUCCAGAGCGGGUAAUCGAGCGGGUUCGGGUAAAGAACCACCCGAUUACCCAAUUACAUCUAUUAUUUAAUAAUAUUUUCACCUAAUAUACUUUUUUUUACCUAUUCUACCCCUCUAUUCUAACUUAAAUUAAAAACUCUUAUCCCACUUUUAGAUUUUAGUUUGAUUUAAUUGUAGAUUUGUAGUUAGAUUAAAUUUUACUUUUAUGAAUUAAAUCAUUAAUGUUCUAUUACAUGUGAUUUUAUACUUUUAUAAGGUAUUUUUAAUUUUCUAUAGGUUUUAUAUGUAUUUAUAUAAGAUGAUAUGUAUCUUUACAGGAUAUUACUAAAAUACCCCAGGCGCUUUAAGUGCUUUAAAGCACGCUUAAAGCUCCCAAAGCGAAAAAGCUCUUCCUGAAAAGUGGAAGCGCUUUUCGCUUUUUUGAACUAUGAUUUAAAUUGCAUUCAUGUGUUACGAUUUCAUUUCGAUCCCAUUAUCAAAAUUUAUGCUUGUCUUUAUUCAUAUCUGAUCAUUUCUAAUUUGGAUAGUUUAAAUCUCCUUUUCCUUAAUAUGUAAAUACCACAAUGUUCUGAUUAUUUCACAUUGAAAUUAUAUUCUAUUUCUUUAUUCAGGAACUAUUUUUCAUACACUUGGGAUCAUUCUUGCAAUAAUUGUUCCUGUUAUCUUUGCCAUAGUUCGAUUGCUCUUUUCAAACUUUGCAAUGACAUGGUAGGAAUUCUUUGAAUUUUUUUUUACGCAUUGCGUCUGGAAUAAUUAAUCAAAAUUCGUAAAUUUUCAUUAUUGUCAAGUACAGUCUGGUAAAAUAAAUCUAUAUUAUAUAAUACAUUUGUAUGCACACUACAGUCAUCCUUUCGCAGUUUAGACUUCGGAUCAUUUUGUUCAUGCAAUGCUCAUUUUUCUAUCUUCUUAGAUUAAGAUAAUUCGAUGCCUUGCAGGUUUGCAAAUCCAUUCUUAGGAUUUUUAAUGUUUAUUCCUUCUUCAAUAAUUGGUCUUUUGAUUCCAAGAACAGUAUUUGGAUUCUUUGCCAUUUCUCAAGAUGGCACAUCUCUUAAAAAGACUAGUAAGGUAUUGUAUUUAGUUUUGAACCUAAGGUUGUAUCGUUAAAAUUGAUUUGAUCAUCUUUAUUUUAUUAAUUUAUUAUUUCCAUUCAUCUUUGCUAAUACACAACAUUACUUCUAGUUAGGGGUAAGCAUGCACCCAGACCCGUCCCGUUGGGAGGGUGUCCGGGACGAAUUUUCCAUCCUAUCCGGCCAAAAACCAGACGGAGUCCGAGUUGGUAAAAAGGGAAAUUUUCCUUAUAUCUUGGAUGCCUGUAAAUGGUAUACCGAAAUCCGUAUUCGUAUCCGCUUUUGAAUUCGAAUAUGUUUAUUCGAAUUCGGAUAUCAAAAAUGAUAUCCGAAAAUUAUUCUGACGGAUUCGGAUAUCUGCAAUAUCCGCAGUUAAAAUCCGAAUUCGGUUAGUAAUUCCGGAUACGAAUAUCCGAAUAAAUAUAUAAAAAUAUUUAGUAAUGUUAUUAGUAAUUAAAAAUUAUUAUUUAUAAAGUUAAUUAACUUAUAUUGUUAUUUAGGAUUUUAGGGUGAUUUAAUACUUUAUUAAGGGUGAUUUUAUACUUUUAUAACUUUUUUAGGGUUUUCUAUAUAGAGUUAUCCGGAUUUUCCAGAUAUCCAGAAAUUUAUCCGAAUUCGGAUUCAAAUUUUCCUAUCAGGAUAUUAUCCGGAUUCGGAUACCAGGGUAUCCGAGCCGGCUCUCCCAACAAGGUGAGUCCAGGUCGGCCUUGUAUUCACCCCUACUUCUAGUAGUCGAUAUUUAUCGAUUUAAUGAUUUAUUAUGAGGUAUCGAGAUAUUUUGGGGUUAGGGUUUUACACAUUUAGUUCUGGAAUUCUGAUUUAAUUCUGGUAGGGUUUUACACAUUUAGUUUUACAUAUUUUCGGGGUGAUUUAAUUCUGGAAUUCUGGUUUCUGAUGAAUAAAUAAAUAAUACGUUCUUUUCUCAUUUUCUGUAGUAAAAAUAAAAUAUAAAUAAUAUUAAAGUGUGUGAAGUUGAAUUUGAAGAAAAGUAUAAUAUGUUAGAAAAGUAUUUUAAUUUUUUAUCAUAUUUAGAUUUUAAAAAUUUAAAGACUAAAUGGAUAUAAUGUUCAUGAAACUAACAAUUACAACAUUAACAAUAGUUCAAUACCCAAUUGAAGAAUGAGAUCAUAUAACUUACAAAAUAAAAGCUUCCCAUUAUAGCUUCUAAUCUUCAAAAGCUGUACUUAAACACAAGUGAUUUUUUAUGGUUUAGUUUGUACUUCCACCUUUUUUUGAUGAAGUAAAUAUUUUAUUACGUAAAAUAAAGAGGUGGUCAUGGCCCGAUACAAAUGUAGGGAAAUGAAAAUAGAUAUCAUUAUCACUUUCUUAUAUAGUUCCUAAGCGUUAAAUAGCUAUCAAAUGAUGCCUCCAUUGAAAAAUAGCUUGAGUUUCAAUCUGUGAUAGAUUUUCUUAUAGGAUGCAGCACUAUAUGUAAUGCACACCUCCCUUAGAAUGGCUCGUCACAAAGCAUGCUAUUUUAUCAAAAUGGCUCAGAAUGACUGUACUUUCCAUCUUAUCUAUUGAGGUCUAUGCAUUUUCUUUAGUAAAAUAUGUUGUCGAAUACUUGCGUUUUCUAAAAUUAUUUAGUUACUUAUUUUUUGUAGAAACUAUCAAAUGAAGCAUAUUUCUGGGGAGCUUUUAGCUUUUAUGGGUUUCUGACUCUGGUAAGCAUUUUGUCAGAACUGUUUAUUUUAAAAUUUUCAUCUUAGCAUUUCAAGUGUUAUUUCAUAUAUAGUUUAUUUGAAUGUUCUGUUUACCAUACUAUUUUCUCAAGGAUUAACAUACUAAGAUAAAUGUGUCAGGGUUUCUUUGUCGAAUCCUUGUGGCUUUUAUCUUUAUUUGAGCUUCUAUGUUUGGAUAUUUUUUGUAGUUCUUUAUAAAAUAAAUGGAAUUUCAUUAAAUUUACCAUUACCAUUUAUAAGAAAUGCCUUUUCAUUUUAAUAUAUUUUUAGGCAUUUCAAUAUUUCAUAGACGGUUUUUUGUAGUUCUUUAUAAAAUAAAUGGAAUUUCAUUAAAUUUACCAUUACCAUUUAUAAGAAAUGCCUUUUCAUUUUAAUAUAUUUUUAGGCAUUUCAAUAUUUCAUAGACAGUUUAAACUGCAGUGAAAUGGUUUGAGAAAUGAUUUUUCUAGUGAAAAUAUUUUCUCUAAGGGGAGAGAGAUCACAAAAGUGCCACCCACCAAUCCUCUAGCUGAUUUUUUGGGUUCAUCUUCUUGAAUCUUGAGAAUCACAAAAGUCAUAUGUCGUCGUCUCAUCCGUUUAUUGAAUACACAAGAACUGCCACUGAUCCUGUCUUUAUUUGUUAACUUUCAGUAUCUUGUAUCAUUAUGAUUAAGUUCUUGGUAUGUAUCAAAUUAUCUGAUUAGGUGUAUCUUUUAUCUGGACUGGGUGGAGGAUUCUUGGCUUAUAUUCUGUCAAUGUCAAUGGCUGUGGCAUGGUUCUUUUUUCGUAUGGCAUGCAAGCGUUUUGGAGAUCAAUCUAUCAAGUACUAUCUGUAAAUCUAAUGCCAUGUUUGUAUAAUUUUCUAUGCAUGUUUGUAUAAUGCCAUGGCCAAGAACCGUAAUUCAAUUAUGUUUCACUGGUGACUGGUUGUAAGAAGUAAGCACUAAGCAUAACUAUGUGCUUUAAGGAAUUCUGAUUUGCAUAUUUUGUAGAGCUUUAAAUUAUAAAAUUUAUGAUAUUUAUACUUUAAAUUUAGAAAUGAAUCCCAAAUACGGAAAUCACAUUUAAGUUUUUAUACUUUCUAAUCUUAAUUACUGUAAAAUUACAGCAAUACUUCCAUCUAAAAACACUAAAUAUAUUCCUUUACAUACUAGUAUUUUUAUUUUUCAUCCAUUAAUUAUCCUAUUUUUAUUACUGCACAGUCAAAUAUGAGGUCACUCAACAAUUUCUAGAGGCAAACCACAUACUUACUCGCCAUAAUUUACUUUGAAAACAUUUGAGAUCGCAUGCAUGACAAAAAAAUAUUUUUACAUAUUGCAUGGAAAGAAUUUUGAGGCCAUUUAUCCAGAGAAGUGACUUUCAUUAUGGUUAUUUUGACUACAGUUUUUUGAGCCAUAUGAAUUCAAAUUUGGCACACUUGCAUGUUUUUGUAUGUCAAUUAUAUUUUUCCAAUCAUGGACUAUUUUGGUGAUUGUAAUUUGCAGGUCAUUCGCUGCAUAUAUGAUACCUAUGGUCCCUGUCAUUAUUUAUGCCGUGUACUUUAGUGGAUUUCUUGUUCAAUUUUUGGUCGAGAAAAUGGGAAUGAUGGGUUCUCUUCCACAGCCUUAUGGUUAGUAUAACUUUACAUGAUAAAUAUAUGAAGAUAACAAGUAAUCAAGUAUACACCUGAUGACUAUGUUUACUUAAAACCCAUUCUUCCAUGACAUUAAUCUGAUUAACACAAAAAAAAUAUUGAAUCUUCUUCGAUUAAGUUGAAGGCUUGAUUUAUUUGCAGGAUAUUUUGUCCCUGAUAUUGUAGUAGCUGCGGUUAUUGGAGUGGUGACUGGAUUGUGUGUGGGUCCUUUAUUACCUGUUGUUAGUUACUGGCUGUGCAGGCCAUCAAUUCUGAAAUUCUUGCUGCAAUUUACUGUCAUUGCAUUAGCAGUAUCAUCACAGUUUUUUCCUUAUAGCACUGAAGCACCCAAAAGAGUUGUACUUCAACAUACAUUUCGAACCGACAGUAAGUUACAUACCUUAGUACUGAAAGCACUUUUUAUGCAGGCUUUGCGAUUUUGAUUUGUGCACUAACAUUUUUUUGUAAAAAUGCAGAUGCUAAUAGAAUUGUAAAUUCUAGCUAUGAUUUUUCCGUUGUUGAUGCCAAUUCCUUGGAAUUUCUUUUCAAACAUGCACCUGAUGCUUCUAAAAUGCUAGAGAUUUAUCCAAAUUUUUCUCUAAACAAUGUUAUUCGUUCUGAUCGAAGUUCUUCAGUGGUAUGCACAUUUACUUUCAAUGAUAUAAAAAAACUUUAUAUUAUCUGAUUAAGAUUAUUACAAAUUAUUUUUAGGGCCAAUUUAUUUUAUUUAGUUUAUUUUUUCCUCCUUUAUAAUAAUUGAUGAAGCACGAAAUCUGCUACCAGUAGGCUCGCGGGGUCGCGAGGAGGGCCGGAGGCUUUGGAGUCCACGACGCGCGCUCUACGUCAAAUACCUGCAAAAGUGGAGGGGAGUCGGCGACUCAGAUGUGGGAGUCGGCGACUCGGGCUCCUUAGUUCUCUGGUUGGGUGCGUGUCAAGUGGGAAUGACCUGGGAGUAGAGGACCCCCAAGGACCCCUUUUAUAGGGUCCUGGGGGACGUUUCCCCAUUCAUUAACGUGGGGCCCACUCCAUUAUGGCGCCCAAUUAAGGGUGCCAUAAUAACGUGGGCCCUCCCAAGUAACGGCUGGGAAUCGGCGACUCAGGUAUGGGAGUCGUCGAUUCAGAGGUGUGGUCGCCGACUCCCCAUGAGCCAAGUUGGCAGUCUACCAGAACUGACCACGAGGCCUAGAGUCGGCGAUUCACCCCUGGAGUCGGCGACUUGGUAGUCCCAGUCGGCGAUUCCCAAGUGUUGCCUUGAGUACUUGACGUAGACACUUCCUCCGCAUUUGUGGAACUCUCCGGGGGUCCGGCAUAAAACGAUGGAACCCUAAUCCUUGUUGAAGGGCGUUACUGGGAGUGACUGACGUGAUCAGGCAUGUCUCACCAGUACUCCCCCCUAAAGAGAGCACAAGAAACACGCGUGUACCGCCAAUAAUGAUUAUGUAUAAAAGACGAAUAAUUCACUAUGCACUCAUCACAUGACUCAAUAAAGAACAUGGAUUUCUUUAUUCUUCAGAUUGCUAUUAGUGAUAAUGAGAACAUGGAGACUGCUGACAACUAAAUGAUUAAUAUAGGCAUCACAGACGAGGAAAAGAAUUUCCUGAACUUACAAAGGAACCUGCUUGAUUCCCCAAUAUGAUUUGAGAGCUUGGAGGUAAAGGAAGAUACAUUCAUGUGCAUUCGCCAAAGAAACAUAUAUGUAUGGGAAUGGAAAUAUGGUAAACCUUUCUGAGAAAUGGUUUAUGACCUAGUAAGAACAGAUAGAAAUUCAUCAAGUAUAUUCAUGCAUACUAUGCGGCGAGCUAUAGUUUGAGACAGUUGUGUUAAGCUGGGUAACUGGAUAAAUGGUCACUUAUUUUUUUCCUGCAACGUUUCCAAGAUAACAUAGCAGAGAAUGUUGUGUAAGCUAGGUAAUUAGAUCGAUAAUGACGAACACAACAUGAUAUUUCAAAUGCUACUGAUUGAAAUCAGAUUCCUCAGGAAGACUGACUGACUAUAUGGGGAUUGGGAACUAGACUGGAUGGCCUUGGAAGUCUUCAUAUGGUAUAUAUGAAGGGAGAUAUGCAAUAGGAUGCACUGGGAACCUUCUUUUGAUGCCAACUAGCCAUUCAAUCUGGCUUAGAAUGAUUUUCUUGUUGUUUUCAAUCCAACCAAGUACAAAGAAUAUGUAUUUUAACCUAGGGAUUUAGUGGCUCCUGGUUACAGAUGGUAGUUAGAUCCUUCUCACUAAUAUGAGUAUGCAGUGUACACAUAGUGUAGAUGUAAAUUAAGGGUGAGGUAUAGCACUCUUCACUAUGUGUAGAGGAUAUUGUAUAUACCAUUUACUGUCUUUUUUAUUAUUAAAAUGAAAAAUUUACCCUUUGUAAUAAAAAUUAUGUAUAAUUUAAUUCUUAAAGAUAAAUUUUUUUCAGUUUUUUCCCUUCCAUUUUCUGCAGGCACUUUUUCCAAUAUCAUCUCUAUUUUCAACAAGUAUGAAAUUUCCUGUGAAAAAUGUAAAUAUCCUUGACCAUUACCAGUUUACACCUCAGCUAUCCCUUAUUGAAACAGUGAAAUCCUCAAAGACAGGAUCCCGAAAAGUUCACCUAGAACUUUAUCUAGGGUAAGUAAAAACGACGAUGAUUAUCAAGGAUUGAUCAAUUUCAAAACCUAGUUUUUUUAUUUAUUUUACAUGUUUUACCACCUGGUUCCUUUUCAGGUCAUUAAAGGAGGUAUGGGUAGCAGUUUUGAAUAUUACUGGUCCAUUGUCGAACUGGUCUUUUGCCAAUAGUACACUUCCAGGUGAUCUAAGAUAAUCAUCUCCAUUUCCAUUCUGAUACCAACAUUUGAAUUUAUCAUUAAUAUCAAGUUCUUAAUUACUUCCAAACUGCCGACAGCUCCUGAAACAAUAGAUGACGGCCCACCGUCAUAUAUUUGCAGACUCAGUGGUAAUAGUCAUGAGAACUGGAACUUUUGGUUAGAGGUAAACUCCUUUGAUGGUUUGACCUAUCCUCAAAAAAGCACUGCUUAAUUACACGCCUUACACACUCAGAUAAAUUGAUAAUUCUAUAUAUUUAUUGAUUGCACAGGCUAAUCAUUCAAAUGCAUUGCAAAUCGAUGUUGCUGUAAUUGACCAGUAUUUAACUGAUGACACAAAAAACCUAAAGAGUCUAUUCCCAAGAUGGGCAGAUGUUAUUGCAUAUACAAGUUUUCUCUCAAGCUAUUAUUUUUAGCUAAAAUUAGAUUUCUGUAGUGCCAAAAAUCAUUCUAAACUAAAAACUAUUUAUUAAGAUUAUAAAAUAUAUCUCAUUUAUUUUUCUAUUUCACUAUUCUGUAGUGCCAAAAUGAUUCUUGAAAAAAUAUGAAAGACUUUUUUUAUAAUCAAAGCUUCAAUUUCUUUCAUAUGAUCAGCAAUUUUAGUUUUGAAAUCACCAGACCCUAGCCAUAGUACAUUAGUAUUUAUGCCAAGUGAGAUGAAUGUGGCUUGCAGGUUGGAGUUGACCUAUUUGAAAUGAGGUUGAUUUUUUGUUAAGCUUUUAUUUAUUUAUUAAUUAUUGAUCUUAGUAAACUAAUAUAAUUUAGUGACUUCAUCAUUUCCUAUUUAAACUUCAUGUAUGAAUGAAGUUUAUUUAAUUAUAUGUUGAUUAAACUUUAUAUUUCAUAAAUUCAUUAUUUAAUUUCAUAUUUCCCAUCUAUUUUUUAUUUUUCUAUAUAACCCUUUUUUAUCAGAAGAAGGUAAGAAAUUUAUUCUAGAAAGGUAAAAUUCUGAUUUUUUAAAAUAAUUAAAUUUCAUUAAAAGAAAGGCAACGAGACAAAGAUUUACCUCAUUGUUGUUUUUCAGAGCCAUAAGACAUUUAUCUUGUUCAGAGUCAUAAGACAUUUAUCUUGUUCAGAGUCGUAGUCACUCUCCGUCCAUUGUGCCUGAUGUGUUUCUUCUUUAAAUUUUAGCAAAGGACAAUUGGGCUUGAUGUGACCUGUUUUGUUGCAUUUGUAGCAGAUGAUUCUGUCUUUGCUCGAUGACUCUUUCUCAGAUGAGCUCCUCUUUGGACAACUUUGUACUCAGAUCUAGACUUUCUUUCAGAUCUAUGAUUGUGACCUUUUAAUUCUCUCUUUUUCAUAAUGAAGUACCGGAUUUUAUUUGUAAUCAUGACCAGUUCAUCAUCUGAGUACUCACUAUCUGAGUGGCUUCUGAGAGCGAUAUCCAUUUUCUUUUCUGAUUUCUCUUUCGACAAGGAUCUUUUAUUUUCAUAUGCCAUAAGAUUUCCACACAUAUUUACUAUUGUGAGAGUGUUGAUGAUAUUUCUCUUGGAGUAAUAUUUAUCUGACAUUUACUAUUAAGACCCAUAAUUUUUUCCGGAAUAUUACAUUCUUUCCCCCUAAAAACAAGAAUUUUGUCCUCGAAAUAUUAUAAUUAAUCGACGUACCAAAAAGAACUGGAAAUUUUUCCGCAUCUUUUUCUCAUCCUCCCAUGUUGCUUCUUCUGGUCCAUGGUGUUCCCACUGGACCUUCACUAUUUUUACUGUUCUUCCCCGCAACUGUCUUUCUCUAGUUUCCAGGAUCUUAGUGGGUCCCCUCUUCGAAAGAAUGUAAUAUUCCGGAAAAAAUUAGGGGUCUUAAUAGUAAAAGAAAACCCUAAUUACAGGAGCAGAAUUGGGAAAUUUUAGCUAAAAUAGGACAGAACUAGAGCAACUCAGCCUAACCGAUUGGGUUAAGGUCAAUUAGGCUAGGCCUAAUUAAAUUUAAUAAGUAAUUAGGUUAGUCAAGUAUGGGCGAGGCCUAAGUGGGGCUGAACUUAAGUAAAUAAAAUCUAGUGGACCUAUUCGAAUUGGGCUGAAUCUAAAUGGUUUAAUUAAAUAAGAAAAUAAAUAAGAUUUCAGCGUAAGGGUAAAUUAGUCAAUUAGAUUAAGAAAACGUUUUUUUUUUAAAUAUAAGGGCAAUAAAGUCAAAAGAAUAUUCUUAAGGAAGGAAACAUUUUUAAAAUAGGGGCAAAUGGGUCAAAAGAAUCAAUUAAAGAGGAUAUUCUUAAUUGAUUGGGGAAAAUAUAAAGGAAAGAUUUAGACGAAAUUGAGGAGGGAGUUAAAUCUUUAAAUAAGAGGAAUUAAAAAUAGAAAAGGGGGGACGAAAAUUUGAAGGAAGAGGAAGGACUCAACUAGGACUUGCAAGUGUUAGAAGAAAAACUAAGAGGAGAUCAAGGUACGCGGAUAUAUUCAAUCCUUCUACUAGAAUAAUUUUAGUAUGAAGUAUUGUUAUUAAAAAUGAAAUGAAAUUAUGUAAGGAUAUGAAUGAUUUUUGGUUUACGGAUUGUAUCUCCAUUGGAGGAUUUGAGGCUUGUUUUCGUACAACAAAGUUGUUGUUCGAUUGUUUUUUUUUGGUUCAAGGGAAGUUCAAGUUUUCUUCUUUUCUUUCUUCGGUUUGUUUUCUGUUUUUAUAUUUUAUAUUUUCUGUUUUCUGUUUUUCCUGUUCCUGUUUUUCUUUUUUUCCUUCUUCUGAUUUUCUGAUUUUGUCUUCUGAUUUUCUGCCUGAUAUUUCAGUAUCAUUGCUAGAUAAUCUCUGGAGUUUUGGUUUCUGAUUUUUGUUCUUUAAAUUAAUUUACUGGACAGCAAAAAAAUCCUUAUGAACACGGGACUAUAAUCGUGGAUUGGACUCCACAAGGUCUCCAAGUUCAGGAUUUGCGCUGCCCUAGGGCUAGAAGCUCACGUUUAAGCCUUAGACACCCAAAUGAGACACCCACAUGGUUGAUUUUAAUCAAUAAAAUCAAGAGAAGGGUCUAAAUAAUUGGGUUGGUUGUUGAGGUUAAGCCUCAACUCUAUAGACCUACCGCCUAUUCCAGGGUAGUGGUCGAGUAAAUUUAAAGGUUUGUGUUUCGUUUUCAAAGUUUGAGUUAACGAACGAGAGGUAAAUUAAACUAAAACCUAGUCGAUUUAAAAGUUCGAUUUUUACUAAUGCAAACCGUUUCAUUACUCGAGGAUUUAAAUGACAUUUCGGGUUUUAUUUCAACGUUAUGUUUUCUUUGGAUCUAAUAACGAAAAGUGUAAAAGGGAAAUCAACGAGACCUAAGGAACUCUAACCUUAAAAUUUAGGAAUGGACAACGAAAGGGGCGGGUCGAGCUAGUUCUUGGAAUGGUACUCGACCCGAACUAUUCCCAUCCACCAUCGGGUUAAAUCCUAAAGGAACCCAAACCUUGAAGUUAAGGAUUUAGAGGUGAACGACGAAAGGAGAAGAUCAAGCAAGUCCCCGGGGUGACACUCAAUCUAACCUCCUCUCUAUUCACCGAAGAUCCACCAAGGUUACGGACCAAGAUUUGGAUUGAGUGGAACACUCAAUCUCUCCUCACUCAUGCCCAAUCAUACGAAUUUACGGAUCCUUAGGGAUUUAACGACACAUGAAAUGAACGGAACUUAACGGGCCUGACGAUGCUACAUGACCCGACAGGGUUUGACGGCAUAGCGAGGGUUUGCUCGAUGACCCAUGUAAAGGAAAAAAUGGGGUUCAUAAGAACCUUUAUCGGUAACCAAGGAGGGCUAAUAUGCCCUAAAGAAAUUCAUGAACUAUAAGAUUGAUUAUAUAUUCACGUACUAAGUUUUUGAAACUUACCCAUGUAAAUGACAAUUUUAUUGCAGAAUAAGGGACGGCUUGGAAUGGACUGGACAGAGGGUUUCACACAUGAAUGAGAUCCUAGGUGAUAGUACAGGGUCCGACACACAGACCAUAGUACUAAAAGACGUAUCCCAAAGUAUCUAAUACGCAGAGGAGGGGGGAGUACUGGUGAUACAGUAUCCCGAACACGGUCAUAACCUACCAGCAACUAGAAGUCCGGAUAGCCUAAGAUGAGUUGAGGUAUCUAUUCUAGGGUUAUGGAGGUCCCAGGUCGAAUCCUAGGAAGAUCGACUUUCCUGAGGAUCGACUUCCCUGGGAUCGACUUUUGAGUAAAGUCGAUCACCAGGAAAAGUCGACCCCCAGAAAGUCGAUCUCUGGAAAGUCGACCCCUGGACCCAAUCUGAUCAGUUAGGCAGUUAGGCGGUUACUGCCCAAAUGACCAGAUUGACCCCAUAAAAACCCCUAUAAAUAGAGGGCACCCCUCACUCAUUAAAGGCAGGUCAUUUGGAGAAGAAGAAUUCCUAGCGAAGCAGAGCUCUGCACACUUGAGUUCCGGUCCGGUUUCCCGCGGAGUUCCCCGCUUGGCGCUUACUUGCGCGUCUUGGAGUACUGGUCGGGUUUCACCCCCAUCAGUUGGCGCCGUCUGUGAUUCAAAGAUACUCACGACAAAAGCUCCUCGACUUUUUCGAAAAAAGGGAUCGACUUUUUUCCAAGUCGCCAGCUAGGAAGUUUUGCGAGGAAAUCAGCCAGCAAGGGAUCGACAUUUCAGGAGAUCGACUUUUUCUUCCAAAGAAAAGUCGACCCCUCAAGGAGCUAGGCUUUCAGACAUCGACUUCCAAGGAAUCCUCCAAGUGCACUAGGAAUCGACUUUUUGAAGAUCGACUUUUCCCUCCAAGCAAAAGUCGAACACUCCUUCUAAGAAAAGUCGAACACUCCAGGAUGGUGGUAACUCGAAGCACUUCCCAAGGAGGAGGAGCAAAUUCUCAGGAGGCGCCAGAGCAACAACCUGGCAAUUCAAAAACUAAAAGGCCAGUGGGUCGACCACCUAAGGCCAAUAAAAACAAAAGGACUCCCACAGGACCUGAGACUGAACCCGAAGGUGAACCUGAGCAAUCUCCCCAAGCGUCAGCAGGAGGGGAAAAUCAGAACAUCACAGUUCAGGCGAUAGCAUCCGACUCCUUGCUGAAAAGGAGAAACCUUCGGAAGAACAACCUCAGAUGGGGGGAUCCACAAGCAGCAAGGGACCAAGGGCUGCUACAUCAGAAUCCACUCAUGGGUUCAUAAAAGUGCCCAUAGAAGAGCUGGAGAAAAUGAAGGAUACCAUAGCAAAAAUGAGCGAAAAGAUAAAGGAUAUUGAAAAGUCUAAAGCAUCAAUAUACCAUUCAAAAGCUCAAACCUCAAAGCAGGUCAAGUCAUAGGGCAGCACACUCAAGUGCGCCACUAUUUCACAAACCACCUCGCAAACCAGAGGAACAACCCAAACCUUUUUUCCGAAAAAAGUACGGGGGACACAGAAGAAGGAGGCGAGGUCCCAAACUGGCUGGUAGGCAUGGAUGCUUUGCACAAAUCUCUAAUGGUAAAACCAGCACCUCUGAAGUUCAGGCUACCCAGGCUCCAGGUUUAUGAUGGAAAGAUGGACCCAGCGGACCAUAUAAACAUGUUCGUAGGGGCAAUGCAGUGGGCUACAUCAAGGGAUGACAUUCUCUGUAGAGCAUUCCCAGGAACAUUAAAAGGACCCACAUACAGAUGGUUCGUCGAACUUCAGCCAGGGAGCAUAACGAAUUUCGAGGACUUGAAAAAGAAGUUCGUCGCCCAACAUUGUGGAAACACAAGGGUUAGAAAGGGCACAGAAUCACUGUUCGCAAUUAAGCAGAAUGGAGAUACGCUCCGGAAUUAUACAACUAAAUUCACGGAAGCCAUGCAGAAAAUCUCCGAUCUGAACACAACAAUCGCAAUAUGCGCAUAUUCGAAAGGGCUAGACAUGAACACGCCGUUAGCAAUAAAGCUAAACGUAAGUAAUGUAAAAUGCAUGGAGGACCUGCUGACAAAGGCCCAAAAAUACAUAAACUCUGAGGAGUAUGAGAAAGAAAAAGAGAAAGGUGCCAUGAGCAACAAAAAAGCAUAUGAAGCACCAAAGAGAAAAUUCCAAAAAUUCAAAAAAGGAGAAUCAUCCUGGAGACCAAAACACGACGGAAAGGUCUACCAAACAUCUGAGGAGUUCGGGAAAUCAAGAUAUCCAAAGUACAAAGACUUGGGAUUUACGGUUUUCAGCACUCCAAAAGAGGAAAUCUAUAAUAAAGAAAAAGGAAGAAUAAGGUUUCCUCAACCAGAAGAGUUGAACCCUGCAACGAAAGAGGCUCGAACAAGGAGGAACAGGUAUUGCAAGUUCCACAAAGAUUACGGGCACAACACGGAAAACUGCAGGGAGCUGAGCACCUUCCUAGAUACACAAGUAAAGGAAGGAAAGCUAAGGCAAUAUAUAAAUAAAGUAGAAAGGGGGCGACAAGGCUGCAAGGACCCAAAGAACAAGGGUAAGCGCCAACGCUCAAGGAGUCCAGAUUCAGACACUGACCACAAAAGAAGAGUAAUUAACUUAAUCUUCGGUGGAGGAUCGGUAGGAGAAAGCAGAAGUUACUCGCGCAAAGUAAUGCAGACAACAGCGGUACCAAAAUCUAAAAAGAGAUCGUACCCAAGCGAGGAAAUAAGCUUCUCUGAGGAAGAUCUGGACAACGUGGUCAGCCCGCACGAGGAUCCACUAGUAAUACAAGUGGAUAUAGGGGAUGACUUAAGUCUGAACAAAGUAAUGGUGGACAACGGCAGCUCGGUAGAUAUAUUAUACCUAGCGGCGUUCGAAAAAAUGGGUUACAAAGUGGAUCAGUUAACCCCGGCCAAGGAAGCCAUCUAUGGGUUUACAAACACAAAGGCCCCAGUAGUAGGAGCCAUCGAUCUACAGAUAUCCCUGGGAAAAAGGAACGGGAGAGUAUCACGCACAGCACAUUUCACUUCAUUGUGGUCAACAUAGACUCUCCGUUCAAUGGGAUCUUGGGCAGACCAAGCAUUCACGGUUUCAUCAUCUUACCAUCAAUGCUUCAGGUACCCAGGAAAGGAUGGCAGAAUGGCAACAGUUUUUGGAGCACAGAAAGACUCCAGAAAUUCAUACAGGAAGGCAACUAAAAUAGCUAAACCUGUAACCCUAUACAUUCAAGAAAGAGAGGAGGAAGAAGACACAACCUCAUCUAAUUAAGUUGAGGAAGUCAAACUCUCAAAAGGAGGAGUCCUGAUGGGGACAUCUUUAUCCUCCGAGUUAAAAAAUUCACUACUGCAGCUAUUAGAAACUCAUGUGCACACGUUCGUAUGGGAAGGGGAGGCACCCUCACAGGUACAACGUACUAUAACAUGCCAUGAGCUCAACAUAGACAGCAGCUUUACUCCUAUACGGCAGAAGCGGAGAAUACUCGCAGCUGAAAGAAAGGAGGCAGCACAGGCUGAAAUUGAUAAGUUAAUCAAAGCUGGGCACAUCCGGGAAGUCAAAUAUCCAAAGUGGUUAGCAAACCCAGUUAUGGUCAAAAAAUCUAACGGAAAGUGGAGGAUGUGUGUAGACUUCACAGAUCUCAACAAAGCAUGUCCAAAAGACAGCUACCCACUCCCAUCCAUCGACAGAUUAGUGGAUGCAGCAUCAGGAAAUGAGUUACUAUCCAUGAUGGAUGCACAUUCAGGGUAUAAUCAGAUCUUGAAAGAAGAUGAUGAGGAGGCCACAUCAUUCAUCACAGAAUGGGGGACAUAUUGCUACAAAGUCAUGCCUUUUGGCCUACGAAAUGCAGGAGCAACCUUCCAAAGGCUAAUGGACAAGGUAUUCAAAAAGCAGGAAGGAAGAAAUGUCCUGGCAUAUGUAGAUGACAUUCUGGUGAAAUCCAAAAAAGCAGAUGAACACCCAAAUGAUCUGAAAGAAACCCUUGAAACUCUGCGGAAUUAUGGGAUGAGGUUAAACCCUGCCAAAUGCAGCUUCGGAGUACAAGAAGGAAAGUUUCUUGGAUUCUAUGUAGGGCAGAAAGGGAUAAAGCCAAACCCAGAUAAAAUAGCAGCGAUACUGGAAACAGCACCACCUCGAACAAUAAAGGAGGUACAAAAGCUGAAUGGAAAAAUCAAUGCCUUAAGUCGAUUUAUUUCCAAAACAGCAGAAAAAUGCAAACCCUUUUUCCAGCUACUAAAAACUAGUCAAAAAGGGGCAAUAACAUGGACUACAGAGUGUGACGAGGCUUUCAACAGCUCAAGGCACAUCUGGCUUCUCUACCACACCUAACUUCGCCAAAAGUUGGGGAGGAAUUAUACGUCUACGUAGCAGCUUCAGAAGAGGCUAUCAGUGCAGUUCUAAUAUGUCAAAGGGACAGUGAACAGAUCCCGAUAUAUUAUCACUCAAAAAGGCUACAAGGGGCAGAAACAAGAUAUCCUCCAGUGGAAAAGAUAGUCCUGGCAGUAGUACAUGCAGCACGCAGAUUCAGAGCAUACUUCCUGGCUCAUACAAUCAAAGUCUUAACAGAACAUCUGCUGCGCAGAAUCCUCCACAGGCCAGAUACUUCCGGAAGAUUAACGAAGUGGGCACUGGAGUUAAGCGAGUUCGAUGUAGAUUUUGUUCCUGCCACAGCCAUUAAAGGGCAAGCAGUUGCAGACUUUAUUGUAGACAUGACCCAGGAAAGCAAAGAAAAACCUUGGGUAGUAGAGGUUGAUGGCUCAAGCUGCAGUACAAGUGCAGGGGUGGGAAUAAAGAUAAUCACUCCAGACCAACGAAUAUAUGAACAUUCCAUCAGAUUACAGUUCUCAGCUACGAAUAAUAUAGCAGAAUACGAAGCUGUGAUCCAAGGAAUGAAAAUCCUCAGAAGGUUAGGAGCCUGUUCGGUAAUUAUUAGAACAGAUUCUCAAUUAGUGGCUCAACAAUUCACAGGAGAGUUCACUGUCAAAGAACCUCUAAUUGUACAGUACGCAGCCACACUGGAAAAAAUUAAAGAACAAUUUACUAAGGUUGAAGUAAAACAGAUACCAAGGAGUCAAAAUAACUCAGCUGAUGCCCUAGCAAAGCUAGCUUCUGCUUUCGAGGGGGGGCAGAGAGAGAUACUAGUUGACUCAGCAUCUACACCUUCUUGUAACUUAGUCACGAUCCAGGCAGAAGACUGGAGGAAGCCCUUGAUAGAAUACUUCGAGGGACAGAAACUUCCUGAAAAUAAAAAUGAAAGACGCAAGUUACAAACACGCGUUUCAAGAUUCUGCCUAAUCGGUGAUAUUCUGUAUAAGAAAUCCUACGACGGACCUCUAAUGAAAUGUGUCUCAACAGAAGAAGGACAAUUCAUUGUAGAGGAGAUUCAUCAAGGAGUAUACGGAAUACAUCAAGGGGGAAGAUCUUUGGCCCAAAGAAUAAUAAGGCAAGGAUACUUCUGGCCCACACUGAAAAAAGAUGCAGUCCUAUUUGCAAGAAAAUGCAAGGCCUGUCAAAUACACAAG
rnacentral:lncRNA from 1 species